GAUGAACGCUGGCGGCGUGCCUAAUACAUGCCAGUAGAACGCUGAAGGAGGAGCUUGCUCUUCUGGUUGAGUUGCGAACGGGUGUGUAACGCGUAGGUAACCUGCCUGGUAGCGGGGGAUAACUAUUGGAAACGAUAGCUAAUACCGCAUGACAGCAGUUAUUGCAUGAUAACUGUUUAAAAGGGGCAACUGCUCCACUACCAGAUGGCCCUGCGUUGUAUUAGCGAGUUGGUGAGGUAACGGCUCACCAAGGCGACGAUACCUAGCCGACCUGAGAGGGUGGUCGGCCACACUGGGAGUGAGACACGGCCCAGACUCCCUCGGGAAGCAGCAGUAGUGAAUCGUCGGGCAUGGGCGGAAGUCUGUCCGAACAACGCCGCGUGAGUGAAGAAGGUUUUCGGAUCGUAAAGCUCUGUUGUAAGAGAAGAACGAGUGUGAGGGUGGAAAGUUCACACUGUGACGGUAUCUUACCAGAAAGCAACGGCUAACUACGUG
rnacentral:rRNA from 1 species